CUGUGUUUGUGGACGCACUGUAACCGGAAGAACUUGAAAACGAACGAUGACGUAAAUCACUGGACUUUGAGAUCCACCCACGCUAAUGACAGUGGUGAAUCCAGCAAGGUUUCUUGAGGGGUGCUGGGCAAGCAGCCAAGCAUACCGAACUCGGCAAUGGCCAGCAGAGUAUUGUUAUGUAGUUUCUUGGUUACAAUUUUCACUAGAUAUGUUG